rnacentral:rRNA from 1 species
GGGGAAUAUUGGACAAUGGGCGCAAGCCUGAUCCAGCCAUGCCGCGUGUGUGAAGAAGGCCUUAUGGUUGUAAAGCACUUUAAGCGAGGAGGAGGCUACUUUAGUUAAUACCUAGAGAUAGUGGACGUUACUCGCAGAAUAAGCACCGGCUAACUCUGUGCCAGCAGCCGCGGUAAUACAGAGGGUGCAAGCGUUAAUCGGAUUUACUGGGCGUAAAGCGCGCGUAGGCGGCUAAUUAAGUCAAAUGUGAAAUCCCCGAGCUUAACUUGGGAAUUGCAUUCGAUACUGGUUAGCUAGAGUGUGGGAGAGGAUGGUAGAAUUCCAGGUGUAGCGGUGAAAUGCGUAGAGAUCUGGAGGAAUACCGAUGGCGAAGGCAGCCAUCUGGCCUAACACUGACGCUGAGGUGCGAAAGCAUGGGGAGCAAACAGGAUUAGAUACCCUGGUAGUCCAUGCCGUAAACGAUGUCUACUAGCCGUUGGGGCCUUUGAGGCUUUAGUGGCGCAGCUAACGCGAUAAGUAGACCGCCUGGGGAGUACGGUCGCAAGACUAAAACUCAAAUGAAUUGACGGGGGCCCGCACAAGCGGUGGAGCAUGUGGUUUAAUUCGAUGCAACGCGAAGAACCUUACCUGGCCUUGACAUAGUAAGAACUUUCCAGAGAUGGAUUGGUGCCUUCGGGAACUUACAUACAGGUGCUGCAUGGCUGUCGUCAGCUCGUGUCGUGAGAUGUUGGGU